AGUGAACGCUGGCGGUAGGCCUAACACAUGCAAGUCGAACGGCAGCACAGUAAGAGCUUGCUCUUACGGGUGGCGAGUGGCGGACGGGUGAGGAAUACAUCGGAAUCUACUUUUUCGUGGGGGAUAACGUAGGGAAACGUACGCUAAUACCGCAUACGACCUACGGGUGAAAGCAGGGGAUCUUCGGACCUUGCGCGAUUGAAUGAGCCGAUGUCGGAUUAGCUAGUUGGCGGGGUAAAGGCCCACCAAGGCGACGAUCCGUAGCUGGUCUGAGAGGAUGAUUCGCCACACUGGAACUGAGACACGGCCCAGACUCCUACGGGAGGCAGCAGUGGGGAAUAUUGGACAAUGGGCGCAAGCCUGAUCCAGCCAUACCGCGUGGGUGAAGAAGGACUUCGGGUUGUAAAGCCCUUUUGUUGGGAAAGAAAAGCAGCAGGUUAAUACCCCGCUGUUCUGACGGUACCCAAAGAAUAAGCACCGGCUAACUUCGUG
rnacentral:rRNA from 1 species